AACGUAGGUGGCGAGCGUUAUCCGGAUUUACUGGGCGUAAAGCGUGUGCAGGCGGGGAGGCAAGUGGGGGGUGAAAUUUCCCGGCUUAACCGGGAAGGGUUAUGCCAGACUGUCUUUCUGGAGUGCGAGAGAGGGGCGUGGAAUUCCGGGUGUAGUGGUGAAAUGCGUAGAGAUCCGGAAGAACACCGGUGGCGAAGGCGGUCUGCUGGGCAGUAGCUGACACUGAGGCGCGACAGCGUGGGGAGCAAACAGG
rnacentral:rRNA from 1 species